rnacentral:rRNA from 1 species
AUUGAACGCUGGCGGCAUGCCUUACACAUGCAAGUCGAACGGCAGCACGGGUGCUUGCGCCUGGUGGCGAGUGGCGAACGGGUGAGUAAUACAUCGGAACAUGUCCUCUAGUGGGGGAUAGCCCGGCGAAAGCCGGAUUAAUACCGCAUACGAUCUACGGAUGAAAGCGGGGGACCGUCGGGCCUCGCGCUAUAGGGUUGGCCGAUAGCUGAUUAGCUAGUUGGUGGGGUCAAGGCCUACCAAGGCGACGAUCAGUAGCUGGUCUGAGAGGACGACCAGCCACACGGGGACUGAGACACGGCCCAGACUCCGACGGGAGGAAGCAGUGGGGAAUUUUGGACAAUGCGCGAAAGCCUGAUCCAGCAAUGCCGCGUGUGUGAAGAAGGCCUUCGGGUUGGAAAGCACUGUUGUCCGGAAAGAAAUACUUGGCUCUAAUACAGUCGGGGGAUGACGGUACCGGAAGAAUAAGCACCGGCUAACUACGUG